rnacentral:rRNA from 1 species
GAUGAACGCUGGCGGCGUGCCUAACACAUGCAAGUCGAACGGAGUCCAGCCUUUAAGACCUUCGGGUCAAAGAGGGGAAGACUGAGUGGCGGACAGGUGAGUAACACGUGGGCAACCUGGCUCAUAGAGGGGGAUAACAGAGAGAAAUUUCUGCUAAUACCGCAUAAGCACACACUGCCGCAUGGCAGAGGGUGAAAAGAGAAUCGCUAUGAGAUGGACCCGCGUCUGAUUAGCCAGUUGGCAGGGUAAGAGCCCACCAAAGCGACGAUCAGUAGCCGAUCUGAGAGGAUGAACGGCCACAUUGGGACUGAGACACGGCCCAAACUCCUACGGGAGGCAGCAGUGGGGGAUAUUGCACAAUGGGGGGAACCCUGAUGCAGCGACGCCGCGUGAGUGAAGAAGUAUUUCGGUAUGUAAAGCUCUAUCAGCAGGGAAGAUAAUGACAGUACCUGAAUAAGAAGCCCCGGCUAACUACGUG